rnacentral:rRNA from 1 species
UACGGAGGGUGCAAGCGUUAUCCGGAUUCACUGGGUUUAAAGGGUGCGUAGGUGGGUUGGUAAGUCAGUGGUGAAAUCUCCGAGCUUAACUUGGAAACUGCCAUUGAUACUAUCAGUCUUGAAUAUUGUGGAGGUUAGCGGAAUAUGUCAUGUAGCGGUGAAAUGCUUAGAUAUGACAUAGAACACCAAUUGCGAAGGCAGCUGACUACACAUAUAUUGACUCUGAGGCACGAAAGCGUGGGGAUCAAACAGG